GUGCCAGCAGCCGCGGUAAUACGGAGGGUGCGAGCGUUAAUCGGAAUUACUGGGCGUAAAGCGCACGCAGGCGGUUUGUUAAGCUAGAUGUGAAAGCCCCGGGCUCAACCUGGGACGGUCAUUUAGAACUGGCAGACUAGAGUCUUGGAGAGGGGAGUGGAAUUCCAGGUGUAGCGGUGAAAUGCGUAGAUAUCUGGAGGAACAUCAGUGGCGAAGGCGACUCCCUGGCCAAAGACUGACGCUCAUGUGCGAAAGUGUGGGUAGCGAACAGGAUUAGAUACCCUUGUAGUCC
rnacentral:rRNA from 1 species